rnacentral:tRNA from 1 species
GCGGGGAUAGCCAAGGGGUCAACGGCGAAGGAUUGCUAAUCCUUUGUCCCAUCGGGACACGCGGGUUCAAAUCCCGUUCCCCGCG